CCUACGGGUGGCAGCAGUGGGGAAUAUUGGACAAUGGGGGCAACCCUGAUCCAGCCAUGCCGCGUGUGUGAAGAAGGCCCUCGGGUUGUAAAGCACUUUCAGUGAGGAAGAACGCCUGGUGGUUAAUACCCAUCAGGAAAGACAUCACUCACAGAAGAAGCACCGGCUAACUCCGUGCCAGCAGCCGCGGUAAUACGGAGGGUGCGAGCGUUAAUCGGAAUUACUGGGCGUAAAGGGCGCGUAGGUGGAUUGAUAAGCCGGUUGUGAAAGCCCCGGGCUCAACCUGGGAACGGCAUCCGGAACUGGCAAGCUAGAGUGCAGGAGAGGAAGGUGGAAUUCCCGGUGUAGCGGUGAAAUGCGUAGAGAUCGGGAGGAACACCAGUGGCGAAGGCGGCUUUCUGGACUGACACUGACGCUGAGGUGCGAAAGCGUGGGUAGCAAACAGGAUUAGAUACCCCAGUAGUC
rnacentral:rRNA from 1 species